AAUAUCCUUCAGGGCAGGGUGAAAUUCCCGACCGGCGGUAAAGUCCGCGAACCACACGGUGGUUGACUUGGUGAAAUUCCAAGACCGACAGUAUAGUCUGGAUGGAAGAAGGAAGAA
rnacentral:ncRNA from 2 species